UUCCGCCCGGCCACGCUGACGGUGCUCCCGUUGAACUCCCCCGUCGUGAAGACGACGUUGAAGCUCAUCGCCAUCGCCGUCGUCUUCAUGUCGGCGGAGGUCAGGAUGCCCUGCACCUUGCCGAGCACCGCCGAGCUCCGGUUGGGCCCCUCCGUCAUCACGCCGUCAAACACCUGCACCCUCCCGAACGAGAACAGGUCGUCGGUGGAAAUGGAGGCGCGGGCGAUCUCGUAAACGGUGCCGUUAGGGCCGCCGGCAAUGUCGUGGGCGUGGAAGAAAAUCUU
rnacentral:lncRNA from 1 species